rnacentral:rRNA from 1 species
CACGAGGGUCUCACUGUCUUAAGGAAAUGUCCAGUGAAAUUGAAUUUGUAGUGAAGAUGCUACAUCCAAAUUGUUAGACAAGAAGUCCCCAUGGAACUUUACUGGAAACUUAUGUGGCUUAAAUUAAUUUAUUUCUUACAAAUAAAUAGUUUUUAAAUGUGGUGUUAACCUUUCGGAUUAACGAGGGUUAGAAAAGCUCACUCUUUUAUUUUAAGAAAGCCAACUCAAAAUUUUAUGUCUUUGGGAUUUGAUAAGUGGGACAGUUUGGUUGGGGCGACCGCCUUUAAAAAAGUAACGAAGGCGGGCUUAAGAUAUAUUUUUAGUUAUGUCUGACUGCCAAGGGGGAAUCCUGAGCAGGCACUUACUUUUUAGGUGGGUUUAAGUGACCCGUUAAUUUAGGGUGAAAUAGUUAACGAUAAGCA